UAUCUCUGUAGAGUCUGCAUAUCAAUAAGCGGAGGAAAAGAAACUAACUAGGAUUCCCUCAGUAACGGCGAGUGAAGCGGGAAGAGCUCAAGUUUGAAAUCUUCAAGGUUCUACCUUGACGAAUUGUAGUUUAAAGAAGUGUUUUCUGUUGGAGUUUUGGUAAAAGUUCUUUGGAAUAGGACAUCAUAGAGGGUGAGAAUCCCGUAUUUGACCAUUAUUUCCAACUUUGUGAUACACUUUCAAAGAGUCGGAUUGUUUGGGAAUGCAGUCCAAAAUGGGUGGUAAAUUUCAUCUAAAGCUAAAUACUGGCGAGAGACCGAUAGCGAACAAGUACCGUGAGGGAAAGAUGAAAAGAACUUUGAAAAGAGAGUUAAACAGUACGUGAAAUUGUCAAAAGGGAAGCGUUUGACACCAGUGUUGUUUUCUCGAAAAUCAAUUAAAAAUGGUUGGAUUUUGUGUUGUUAUGACCUUAUCAGCUUACUGUACUUUUUUCCCUGCUCUUUUUAAUGCACUUUUCGUUUGACAAGUCAACAUCAAUUUCUUUUGUUGUAAAAGAGUCAUUGGAAGGUGGCUUUCACUUCGGUGAAAGUGUUUAUAGCCUUUGGCUUCUGCAAUCGGAGAGAUUGAGGUCUGCAGCGUAGAUCCUUCGGGGUUAGAUACGUAGAUGCUAAGUUAUAGUUUUUUAUAGACAACUUGUUGACUAUGAUUAAUCAUGUAGCUUACUCGUUUGCGCUAUUUUACCUACGCUUAGGAUGUUGAUCUCUCACAGUCGAGC
rnacentral:rRNA from 1 species